UACGGAGGGUGCGAGCGUUGUCCGGAAUCAUUGGGCGUAAAGGGCGCGUAGGUGGCCACUUCAAGCGUGCGGUGAAAGUCGGGGGGCUCAACCCCUGAUCGGCCGUGCGAACUGGGGAGCUUGAGCACUGUAGAGGCAGGCGGAAUUCCGGGGUGUAGCGGUGGAAUGCGUAGAGAUCCGGAAGAACACCGGUGGCGAAGGCGGCCUGCUGGGCAGUUUUGCUGACACUGAGGCGCGGACAGCGUGGGGAGCAAACAGG
rnacentral:rRNA from 1 species